GACGAACGCUCGUUGCGUGCUUAACACAUGCAAGUCGAACGGAAAGGCCCUGCUUUUGUGGGGUGCUCGAGUGGCGAACGGGUGAGUAACACGUGAGUAACCUGCCCUUGACUUUGGGAUAACUUCAGGAAACUGGGGCUAAUACCGGAUAGGAGCUCCUGCUGCAUGGUGGGGGUUGGAAAGUUUCGGCGGUUGGGGAUGGACUCGCGGCUUACCAGCUUGUUGGUGGGGUAGUGGCUUACCAAGGCUUUGACGGGUAGCCGGCCUGAGAGGGUGACCGGCCACAUUGGGACUGAGAUACGGCCCAGACUCCUACGGGAGGCAGCAGUGGGGAAUAUUGCACAAUGGGCGGAGCCUGAUGCAGCAACGCCGCGUGCGGGAUGACGGCCUUCGGGUUGUAAACCGCUUUCGCCUGUGACGAAGCGUGAGUGACGGUAAUGGGUAAAGAAGCACCGGCUAACUACGUGCCAGCAGCCGCGGUGAUACGUAGGGUGCGAGCGUUGUCCGGAUUUAUUGGGCGUAAAGGGCUCGUAGGUGGUUGAUCGCGUCGGAAGUGUAAUCUUGGGGCUUAACCCUGAGCGUGCUUUCGAUACGGGUUGACUUGAGGAAGGUAGGGGAGAAUGGAAUUCCUGGUGGAGCGGUGGAAUGCGCAGAUAUCAGGAGGAACACCAGUGGCGAAGGCGGUUCUCUGGGCCUUUCCUGACGCUGAGGAGCGAAAGCGUGGGGAGCGAACAGGCUUAGAUACCCUGGUAGUCCACGCUGUAAACGGUGGGUACUAGGUGUGGGGUCCAUUCCACGGGUUCCGCGCCGUAGCUAACGCUUUAAGUACCCCGCCUGGGGAGUACGGCCGCAAGGCUAAAACUCAAAGGAAUUGACGGGGCCCCGCACAAGCGGCGGAGCAUGCGGAUUAAUUCGAUGCAACGCGUAGAACCUUACCUGGGUUUGACAUGGAUCGGGAGUGCUCAGAGAUGGGUGUGCCUCUUUUGGGGUCGGUUCACAGGUGGUGCAUGGCUGUCGUCAGCUCGUGUCGUGAGAUGUUGGGUUAAGUCCCGCAACGAGCGCAACCCUUGUUCACUGUUGCCAGCACGUUAUGGUGGGGACUCAGUGGAGACCGCCGGGGUCAACUCGGAGGAAGGUGGGGAUGACGUCAAGUCAUCAUGCCCCUUACGUCCAGGGCUUCACGCAUGCUACAAUGGCUGGUACAGAGAGUGGCGAGCCUGUGAGGGUGAGCGAAUCUCGGAAAGCCGGUCUCAGUUCGGAUUGGGGUCUGCAACUCGACCUCAUGAAGUCGGAGUCGCUAGUAAUCGCAGAUCAGCAACGCUGCGGUGAAUACGUUCCCGGGGCU
rnacentral:rRNA from 1 species